GACGAACGCUGGCGGCGUGCUUAACACAUGCAAGUCGAACGGUGAAGGGACCGGUUUUUGCUGGUUCUGGAUGAAUGGCGAACGGGUGAGUAAAACGUGAGUAACCUGCCCCCUUCUUAUGGAUAACCGAAUGAAAGUGUGGCUAAUACGGGGUAUUCUGCGCCUGCUGCAUGGUGGGUGUGGGUAAGGUAUUGUUUCGGUGGGGGAUGGGCUCGGGGCCUGUCAGCUUGUGGGUGGUGUGAGGGCCUACAAAGGCGGUGGCGUGUAGCCGGCCUGAGAGGGUGGCCGGCCACACUGGGAGUGAGACACGGCCGAGACUCAUACGCGACGCAGCCGUGUGGAGGAUGGAACAGUGGGCGAAAGUCUGAUGCAGCGGCGACGCGUGAGGGAUGGAGGCCCUCGGGGUGUAACCCUCUUUCGCCAGUGAAGCAGGCUUGUCCCUGAUGUGGGGGGGGUGACGGUAGCUGGAGAAGAAGCGCCGGCUAACUACGUG
rnacentral:rRNA from 1 species